UUAUUGGGCGUAAAGCGAGCGCAGGCGGUUGCUUAGGUCUGAUGUGAAAGCCUUCGGCUUAACCGAAGAAGUGCAUCGGAAACCGGGCGACUUGAGUGCAGAAGAGGACAGUGGAACUCCAUGUGUAGCGGUGGAAUGCGUAGAUAUAUGGAAGAACACCAGUGGCGAAGGCGGCUGUCUGGUCUGCAACUGACGCUGAGGCUCUAAAGCAUGGGUAGCGAACAGGAUUAGAUACCCUGGUAGUCCAUGCCGUAAACGAUGAGUGCUAGGUGUUGGAGGGUUUCCGCCCUUCAGUGCCGGAGCUAACGCAUUAA
rnacentral:rRNA from 2 species